rnacentral:rRNA from 1 species
UACGUAGGGGGCGAGCGUUGUCCGGAUUUAUUGGGCGUAAAGAGCUCGUAGGCGGUUCGAUAAGUCGGAGGUGAAAUCUCCACGCUCAACGUGGAGGGGCCGUUCGAUACUGUCGUGACUCGAGUCCGGUAGGGGAGUGUGGAAUUCCCGGUGUAGCGGUGAAAUGCGCAGAGAUCGGGAGGAACACCAGUAGCGAAGGCGGCACUCUGGGCCGGUACUGACGCUGAGGAGCGAAAGCGUGGGGAGCAAACAGG